UCCAGAGAGAGGCUUCUAUAGACACAUCACCCUCUGGCUAAAUAGGUUAACUACGUCCCCUCCGGAAGACGCUCCCCGUACCCGCGGCCCGCCCUACCGGCUGCCCCCAGCAGAUGGUGCCGCUCUGCAGCAGAAGCCCUCUGCGGAGGACGCGGCCUGGCGGCCCCGCGCUCGGAGAGGGGAAGGUUUCUCUUUCCCGUCAGCAGAUUUCAGGUUGUCAAGAGCACCUUUUACUCUGUGGCAUGCCUUCUUUAUAUGGUAAUCUACAACAGUUUUUUCGGUUUUACCUUCUCUCCCCCUCCCCCGCCUCCCUCCCUGCCUUAAUUACCUAAAUUAGUUGCUGUGGGGGAGAUGAAGGGAGCAAGAACCUUGAUGGAAUUGCAAAGAAGCUCUGUUCCACAAGUCGCUCCUGAAGUGCUGUCUCCAUCACACAGCAGAACAUUGCUGUGAUUGGAGGAGCAGUGGGCUAUAGCUGGCUGGAGGUGCUGCUUGAUCAAAGUCUGGAGGCUGAACAUUCUCUUUCCUGUCUCACAAGUGAGCCUGGAUAGGAGCAUUUGAUGGCUUCCACACAAACUUCAGGAGCUGUCAGGGAGCAGACACGCUGCCAAGAAGCCAUCCUCCUUGGAAGAUAGAAGCAAGGUUCUCCUCCUAGCCAAGAGCUCAGGCGCAUAAGAAUGAAGUGGGCUCUGUGCUCCCUUUGCAGACGCACAGUGCUCCUGCACGCUGCCGACCUGGCAAGAAAAAGUCCUGAAUGUGCCCCAGACCCUGAGACACCUGGCUGGCUUCUUUAACCUUUUCACAGAAGCCUUCUAAGCUAAGUAAUUUAUUUAUAGUAAUAUUUAUCCCUCUCAGACAUUUUCCUGGGGCGGUCUCUUUCAUACUUCUCUUCGUCUGAUUAGUUUCCAUAGUGACACUUAUUUGUAGAGUUUAGAGUUGCUCCUUGCAGGUUUCUGCAAAUGCCAGCCGCAUGUGCGCCAUGUUAAUAAGACAAAGCCAGCCCUAGUUCUUUCCUUUUGAUGGUUGGAUUUUGCCCUGUAUUUGGGAGCACCCUUGGGGAAAAAAUGAAAUAAAACAAAAAGAAGUGGGGCAGAGGCUCCUUUGGAUCCCAGAAGCUUAUUUUUCUGGGUGGUACUUUUGACUGAGCUAGUUCUGUCUGAAUGUCAGUGGCAGCCUCUGAAGUGCUGUCUGUCUGCAUGAACUAUUAUGUAAGCGAGGGAAACCUUCCAUUACAGUAAGGCCUUUAGACUGCUGCUUUAUUUAAAAUGCAGAAUUACAUGAAAAAGCAAUUCAAUUGAGUGGUGCCUUGUAGGUUGCCUUUUAUCCCAGGCUGAAGUAGGAACUUGUUUUUCUUCUAGGGAAAUUACUACUAUUUUAAAAAUAGGAGAAUGCUAAAAUCAGAUGCAAGCUUGUAAACACAUGCAUGUACACACACAUCUUAACAGCAUGCUGUUCUGUGAAAGGGCUAAACAAAUGUCUGCAAUCAGGGGAUAAAAGCAACCCCCAUACUGACA